UUCCUAGUAGCUCAGAUGGUAAAGUAUCUGCCUGCAAUGCAGGAGACGCAGGUUCGAUCCCUGGGUCGGGAA
rnacentral:tRNA from 1 species